rnacentral:lncRNA from 1 species
GCAGCAGUUCACCGGCAUCCCCACCCCGCCCUACGCCACCGCCGCCGCCGCCGGCGGCCCGGUCAUCAGCUUCGGCGCCGGCGAGUACGGCGGCGGCGCCAUGCCCGUCCGCCCGUCCCCGACACCGGCGUCCGUCAUGUCGUUCGACCACCUCGGCCACCACCACCGCCAGGCGGCGUCGUCGCUGCAGAGCCAGCUGUUCCGGCCACAGCACCAGCACCACCACCAGUACGGCGGCGGCGGCGACGUCGGGUACGGCGGCGGCGGCGGCGACAUGUUUCUCCACGGGUUCGAGUCGUCGUCGGCGGAGGAGAGGCUGCUGCUGCAGAGCAUCCAGGCGGCGCAGAUGCUGCCGGCGGCGAGGCCGACGACCACCUCGGCUAACAACGCUAAUGGCUACAACUUCGGAUGAUUAAUUAGCCAACCUCGCACUUGAUUAGUUUGGGUAAUUAAGGUAAGCAUCAAGUGCUAAUUAGAGAGAGAGAAAUUGAAUUAAAGAUGCCAUUAGUUAAGGCUCUUUA